UUCCAAAUCUUAUUAUAAGAAGCCAUUCUAUCUAAGAUUCAGAGUACCAAGACUUGAAGCUUGACUUGCUGCCCCUACUAAAACUUCCUGAACUGCACCAAAAACCUGCUGGACUACGAUUUCCACCAGUGAACAUGUACCUUGAACGAUAUUACAACAUUAACAACACGGUAAUAAAUGACUUUAUUACCGACGAGCUACAACGGUCAAAAAGAACAAUUACAAGCCAAUUAAGUCUCCAUUUAUACUCAGAUAAAGAUUUCUUAAGCAGUCAGGAGAACCAUUAAAGGCCCCCAAUGGCUUUACAAGAACAGGCUAUAAUAAGCCAUCAAAUACUAGAAGAAAGGUACGCACACCAAAAUAUACAGAAUUACAUUCUUAUUCUCUAAUAGAUAUUAAGAAGCUUUCUGACUUAGUCAUGAGAUCAUUGGUUGAUGCCACUCCGACGCAUUCUCUCUCAUCUUUGCAAGGAACAUCACCUUGUUAGGACUUAUACAAGGUCCAUGACUGACAACCACUUUUGGCAUCAUUAGUUUGGCGCCAUUUGUGAGGAUUGAGUUCUGAAUCAUACAAAUUUUUGUAGCUCUACCAUUUAAGUGACAUGAUGAAUCCAAGUUCAUCAACUCUAUUUGAUUCGAUGUAGAUGACCUAGCAAAUUCAAACGCUGAUAGCAAGCGUAGAAGAGCUAGUCAAACAAAAAUUGGAGUUGAGCCAAUGCAUCUCUCAGGAGAAUAGCAAUGUGCCACCCCGCUAAUGUAACUAGAACAACAAUGAUGAAGAAGUUCAUAGCCCACAGAAUAGUCAUAAAGAAGAAAAUUAUAGGUGUUUAGAACAGUCAAAUUCCAGGCAAACAAAACAAUCCAAUCAAAACAAUGACGAGCUUGAGGAAAGAAAUGGACGAAAUGAAAAGUGCCUUGAAAGGAAAGUCGUCCAGGAACUCAGAUGGAAUACUCAAGAGAACAGAUUCAUUGUUCAUUGGCAAGGUCCUAGAAUGCCCUCUCCUAGGGGUGUGCUCGGUUUGAUUUCGGUUGGUUUUUAUGGGUAUGGCCAACCGAAACCGAAUAUUUUGGUUUGUGAAAUUCUCAACUGAAACCAACCGAAAUGGCUAGAAAUCAAUCGGUUUUGGUGUAUUUCGAUUUUAGUCAGUUUUGGUCAGUUUUUGGUUUUCCAAAGAGAGGGUUAUUGAGAAAUAAAGAUUUUUUUUUUUUAAUUUUUUUUAUCAAACAGAGAUAUUAUUGAAAGAAAAACACAGUAAAAACAUAGACCCUAUUUUCAACACAAAAUACAGAGUAACUCAGUAAAAACACAGACCCUAUUUUCAUCAAAAAAUACAGAGCAACACAUUAAAAACCAUAAAACACAAACUAAGAUUAGUAGCUACAAAGUUUCUUUAAAACAAACAUCAUGGGAUGACACAAAACCCAUGGAAUCCCAGUACAAGCAUGGGUGAUUUGGGAUGAGAUAAACAAAAUCAAGAAGUAGCAAGAAACGAAGAGACCGAAUUGGUACCAGCAUAGGUGAUUUGGGAUGAGAGAAACAAAAUCAAGAAGAAGACAUACCAUAGCAAGAAACGAAGAGACCAAAUUGGUGCUUAGAAAAAUAAGAUGUAUGCGGAUAUCAAAAAAAGGAAAAGAUGCAAGGUAUGUGUUUGUGAAAGGGAAAGAAAAGUGGGUGAGGGAUUGAGGGGCGUGUGUUUGUGAGAGGGAGAGAAAAUUGGGUGAGAGGCGGCUAGGGUUAUAAGUUAUAUAUAAGAUGCUAGGGUUUAAUUUUUUUUUUAAAAAAUUUCAAAAUGGAGAGGCGAAGGCUCAAACUAGUGAACAAGUGGCUGACAUGUGCGCAAUUUUCCUCUAAGCUACUUACUCUGAUAUGUUUUAAACUUACAUAUAUCGGUCGGUUCAGUUGGUUUCAAGGUGAAAAAAUCCAGCACUGAAACCGAAACCAAAAUAUUUCGGUUUCAAAAAAUUAAAACCAAAACCAAACUGAAAAAUUGAACUUGGUUUAGCCAGUUUUUUCUGUUCAUCGGUUUUUUGCACACCCCUACCCUCUCCCAUCAAAGUUUUAACUUUCUUAAUUGGAAACUUAUGAUGGGCAAAUGGAUCCACUGACAUACAUAGAGUCUUUCAAGACAUUGCUGAACCUCCAAUGAACACUUGAUGAAGUGACAUGUAAGUCCUUCCCAACAACUCUUAAAGGAGUUGCUUAAGUUUGGUUUAGCAAGUUGGCAUCGUCCUUGAUCAGAAAUUUCGAACAAUUAAGUGAUUUCUUUAUACAACAUUUGAUUGGUGGCCAAAGACACAAAAGGGAGAAACUUUGAGGGCUUAUGUGAAACGUUUCAGCCGAUCGAUCCUAGAGGUAGACAAAGCAGACAACCAAGUUCAAUUGACGGCCUUCUAGACAGGCUUGACCACCAAAGAUUUCAUCUUUUCAUUAGCCAAGACCUUGCCUACUACAAUGACAGACCUCAUAUUCAAAGCUCUGAAGUACAUGAGCGGAGAAGAUGCGCUAACAGCAAAAGGAAUGGAUGGCAAGGGAAAGAUAGAAGAUAUAGACGAGCCCUAACACAAAAAGAAGGAGAAGAAAGAUCUUUCUCCUAAUAAAAAAAAUGACAAGGGAAGUUCAAAUCCUCUGAAUAAAAUUGUAAAUUUUACCCCUUUGAAUAUGCUUGUAGAAAAAGUUUUGUUGCAGAUUAAGGACAACCCAAAUUUGAGGUGGCCGAAGCCCUUAAGCUCAUUGCCUCAUAGAGGAUAUUAGAAGUAUUGCUAUUUCCACAAAGAUCACGACCACUAUAUAGAAGAAUGCAAAGAUCUGAAGGAACAAAUUGAAGAGUUGAUACAGAAAGGGAAGUUACAAAAUUUGUCAAAACUCAAAAGAGAUCACCAUCAUAAAAUAGAGGAAAAACUAAAGCAAAAUGAUGACAAAAAUGAGGAUGAGCAAAAUAAUGCUAGGACCACUGUUAGUGAGAUAAGAAUGAUCAAUGGAGGACUAGUAAUUAGAGGGUCAUUCAAAUAUUUGUGAAAAACUCACCAAAGGCAGGUUAAUAGUAUUCAUGUAGGACAACCAAUGAUAAGGCAUUGGAAGAUAGGAGCAGAUGAUAUGGCAUUCUCAAAAUAAGAUGCUAGAGGAGUGAAGCAGCUUCAUGACAAACCACUGGUAAUCAUACUUUCCGUAGAAGGGUAUAACACUUGUCAAGUGUUGGUUGGCAAUGGAAGUUCAGUAGACAUCAUGUAUAUGACGGCCUUUCAGCAAAUGAAGAUAGACCUAAAAAGGCUUCACCCUUUUAAGUCACCUCUAGUCGGCUUUAUCGAAGAUUGAGUCUACCAGAAGGAAAUUAUUUCCUUAUCAAUCAUAGCAGGAAUCUACCCUACACAGGUAACCAAAAGUAUUGAUUUCCUCAUAAUUUAUUGCUCAUUGUCCUAUAAUGUCAUUUCAGGAUGACCAACACUCAAACUAUUGAAGGCCACAACCUUGAUGUAUUGUCUCAAUGUCAAGUUCCCAACUACCCAUGGGAUAAGGGAGAUUCAUGGAGAUCAAGUACUAGUCCGAGAAUGCUAUCAAGCAGUGCUCGCAGGGAAAGAAAAGCACACAUGGAUCAUCUAAGAAGAGUCCUAACAGAUAAUAUGAUGAGCAUUGCUUCCUCUUGUCCAUUUAUAACAUGAGAAAUUGACAUCGUCGAACCAAUUCCACAAGAACCCAUUGCCAGAACUUUGUGUGGAGCAAUAUCACUUGCAAGUUCGGCAUCCAAGGAUCAUCAUCUUGGAUAAUAGAUGACAGUUCGACAAUUCCAAAUUCAAAGAUUUAUGCCGUGAGCUAGUAAUCAAGAACCAUUUCUCCUCCCCCAGGCACCCCUAGGCCAAUAGACAGAUGGGGGUAGCAAAUCGGACCUUGCUGAAGAUCAUCAAGGUUCAACUUGAGGGGGGGUAAAUGGGGCAUGGCUAGAAGAGCUACCUGGUGUGUUAUGAACAUGCUGAACAACGACAAGAACUCCUACAAGGGAAACUCCAUUCAAACUAGCUUUUGGUAAAAAAGUAGUUAUCCCAAUGGAGGUUGGUUUAUCUAGCCUCAGGAGAGAACCUUUCGAUGUAGAUACCAACGAAGAAAGUUGCAAGUUAGACCUUGAUUUCCUAAACGAAGUUAGAGAAGAUGCUUUGCAGUGAAUGACGAAAUACAAGCAGAAAAUGGCAAAGUAUCAUGAUUAGAGGGUUGAGCUCAGGAGGAUCAAUCUUGGGGACCUAGUACUACACAAAGUGACUGAAGCCACAAAAGAUCUAGCACAAGGGAAAUUGAACCCAACCUGGGAAGGCCCAUUCGAGAUCGGUAAGCACUAUAUACGAGGGAACUUAUUACCUCAAGUGACUCGACGAUAAACAGCUACCUCGUAUGUGAAAUGUAGAGCACCUCAAAAGUGUGUGGCUGGAAUAUCAAGUCAAAUCUCACUUAUGCUAUGCAAAAUGGGAACUCGAUGAGGCAACAGUCCCCCACUAGACUUAAUUAUUAAGUCUUCUCGGUAGUCCUCCCCCAUCUCAGUGUAUGAUAUCAUCUUAUAUUUUGUUGUGAACCUUGUUUUAAUAAUAGGCAUUAAACAUUCUCCUGUCAUUAUGGUAAAUAGAAAUGAUUUCAAUAAGUAUAAGAAU